rnacentral:rRNA from 1 species
GACCGCGUGAGGGAGGAAGGCCUUUGGGUUGUAAACCUCUUUUGUCAGGGAAGAACACAAUGACGGUACCUGACGAAUAAGCCUCGGCUAACUCCGUGCCAGCAGCCGCGGUAAUACGGAGGAGGCAAGCGUUAUCCGGAAUCAUUGGGCGUAAAGCGUCCGUAGGUGGCCAAGUAAGUCUGCUGUCAAAGACCACAGCUUAACUGUGGAAAGGCAGUGGAAACUGCCGGGCUAGAGUGCGGUAGGGGUAGAGGGAAUUCCAGGUGUAGCGGUGAAAUGCGUAGAGCUCUGGAAGAACAUCCGGUGGCGAAGCCGCUCUACCUGGGCCGAAACUGACACUGAGGGACGAAAGCUAGGGGAGCUAAAGGGAUUANAUNCCCCUGUAGU